AUACUAAGGCGAUCGAGAGAAUCAUGGUUAAGGAACUCGGCAAAAUGCCCCCGUAACUUCGGGAGAAGGGGGGCCCCAACCUUGAGCACCACUCGCUGGUGUGAGGGGAUCGGGGCCGCAGAGACCAGGGGGAAGCGACUGUUUAUCAAAAACACAGGUCCAUGCGAAGUCGUAAGACGAUGUAUAUGGACUGACUCCUGCCCGGUGCUGGAAGGUUAAGGGGACCCGUUAGCUUCGGCGAAGCGGAGAACUUAAGCCCCCAGUAAACGGCGGUGGUAACUAUAACCAUCCUAAGGUAGCGAAAUUCCUUGUCGGGUAAGUUCCGACCUGCACGAAUGGAGUAACGACUUCCCCCGCUGUCUCAACCGUGAACUCGGCGAAAAUUUGCAUUUACGAGUAAAAGAUGCUCGUUUCGCGCAGAAGGGACGGAAAAGACCCCCUGCCUUUUACUAUAGUU
rnacentral:rRNA from 1 species